CAACUGGCUGCUGCUACCUUCCUUCCUAGGUAGGUAGGUAGGUAAUGUUAUGUUCCCCUGGCCACAAGCAGCUUUUCCAAGCUCACUGCUCCUUAGCUGUGCAAGGAUGUUAGUAUUUUAGGACUGCUUUCUUCAGUUCUUUCUCCUAAGCAAACUUAGCUGUGCUGUUCAUGAAGGUGCAGAUAUGAUAUUAUUUCACAGAAAUAUUGGGUAACUGAAUAGUAUCAGAGCAUUGUAAAAAAAGGUAUGUAUUUUACUUUCAAGCCAAGUUUCAAAAGCACUGUGUUCCUA